AGAGAGAGACAUGCGCGCAUAUCAAUAAGCGGAGGAAAAGAAACUAACAAGGAUUCCCCUAGUAACGGCGAGUGAAGCGGGAAGAGCUCAAAUUUGAAAUCUUAAAGGGUUUCCCUUUACGAAUUGUAGUUUAAAGAAGUGUUUUCUGUUGAGGUUUUGGUAAAAGUUCUUUGGAAUAGGACAUCAUAGAGGGUGAGAAUCCCGUAUUUGACCAUUUACUUUCAGCUUUGUGAUACACUUUCAAAGAGUCGGAUUGUUUGGGAAUGCAGGUCCAAAAUGGGUGGUAAAUUUCAUCUAAAGCUAAAUAUUGGCGAGAGACCGAUAGCGAACAAGUACCGUGAGGGAAAGAUGAAAAGAACUUUGAAAAGAGAGUUAAACAGUACGUGAAAUUGUCAAAAGGGAAGCGUUUGACACCAGUGUUGUUUUUCUGAAAAUCAAUUAAAGAACUGUUUAUGCUAAGUUGUUUAGACUUUAUCAGCUAACUGUUUAGUUUUGAGCUUUUCUUUAAUGCACUUUUCAGUUAACAAGUCAACAUCAAUUUCUUUUGCUGUAAAAAAGCUUGAGGAAGGUGGCUUGAGAUUCGUCUUAAGUGUUUAUAGCCUCUUGCCUAUGCAGUCGGAGAGAUUGAGGUCUGCAGCGUAGAUCCUUCGGGGCUAAAUGCAUUUGUGCUAAGUUAUAGCAUUUUAUAGACAACUUGUUGACUAUGAUUUGUCUUGUAGCUUACUCGCUUAUGUUAUUUUACCUACGCUUAGGAUGUUGAGCGCAUGUCUCUCUCU
rnacentral:rRNA from 1 species